AUACUACAUGAUUUUCUGACAAGUAUUAAUAUUCAGUAUUGUAGUCUGAAAAUACCUUAAACAAAAGAUGGCUCUUAUCUAUAGUAAAUAAAAAACGGAUAUAUAAAAAUUAAACAAAUUUUUAUUAUUUGAAAUACUUAAAAACUGCGAAUAACCAAAUCAAUGCUUUUAAAAGUUCAACAUGAAAUUAUGAAAGAAAAAUUAAAUAAAAUUAACUCACAACAUAUACAUAUAUUGCCACCUGAAAUGCAAACGGCGACGAUAUAUCUAAAUCUUUUGCUUUUGAAAUUGCUUCAUCAAUAUCACCUACCAUAUAAAAGGCUAUUUCUGGCAUGUCGUCCAUAUCACCAUUUAAUAGCCGUUUAAAUCCUUCAAUGGUUUUACUAACCGGUACCAUUUUACCAGCAUGUCCCGUAAAAACUUCAGCCACUUGAAAAGGUUGUGAUAGAAAACGUUGCAUUUUACGGGCUCGAGCAACAGUGAGUUUGUCUUCUUCCGAAAGUUCAUCCAUACCUAAAAUGGCGAUAAUAUCCUAUAUAUUUGACAAUACAUAGUUACAUUAGAUAUUAAUGGACAUACAUUUUACUAUUAUAACUAUUUUGAAAUUUACCUGUAAAGAUUUGUAGUUUUGUAAUGUUUUUUGGACGGAGCGAGCAACAUUAUAAUGUUCUUCACCCACAAUCAUAGGAUCCAUAAUGCGAGAUGACGAAUCCAGGGGAUCCACUGCCGGGUAAAUUCCCAAUUCUGCUAUUGGUCUAGACAAUACUGUGGUUGCAUCUAAGUGAGAAAAUGUUGCAGCUGGAGCCGGAUCUGUUAGAUCGUCAGCUGGGACAUAAACAGCCUGCACUGAGGAGCCUCAGCAUGAAUAAAUGAAUGAAAUUCGGAAUUAAUUGGACCUCGUUCAUCUAUUGGAUCACCAACAACAUUAAUAAUACGGCCAAGAGUGGCUCGCCCAACGGGGACACGUAUAGGAUGUCCAGUGUCAGUAACUUUUUGACCCCUUCGUAAACCUUCAGUACUAUCCAUAGCAACUGAACGCACAGUAUUAUUGCUUAAAUGAUGAAAUACCUAGUAUGGAGUAUUAAUUACAAAAGCAAACCUCUAAAACUAAUCUUGGACCGGCUUUAUAGUCUGAAACCUCCAUUGCAUUCAUAAUGUCUGGUAUAUUUUCAUCGUCAAAAAUUACAUCAACAACAGGACCAAUAACAGCAUGUAUACGCCCAACUUUGGAAAGGGUUUUAUCAACUACUGUGGUGUUGCUACCAGUUUUAUCGGUUCUUGAAGAUUUCGGCGUUUCAUUUUCACAAAUUGGUUCAGAUCGUGAAGAGUUUUAGAACAAAUGUUAAGGACACAAUUAUUUAACUUAUGUUUACCAUCUUCUUUCUUCGAACAAACAGCCGAAUAUUUCUGGUAAAAGUGACUACAAUUUACAGAGAAUACUUGGGGAAAACACAGAGUGUUUUGUUGUACAACAUUUUGCAAGGCUAUUGAUUGGCAUAUAAAUUUAACAAUGAACUAUAGACAUGUUUUAAAAUCUCUUCACACAUACUUACCCAAGCCAAUUUUUGAGAAUUUAUUAAAUUUAUUUAAAACAUUCAUUUUUGAUAAAUUAAGUUUUGUAAAUUUUUCAAGAUUAGACAAAUUUGUAAUACGUAUAUUUUUAUGAGUGCUCUGUUUUUUUUUUGCAUAGAAUGACAGUUUCACUUUGUAAUUUUCCAAUACAUAAACCAAAGAACGUUAAUAGAGCCCCAGCAGUUCGACAAAGUCUCAAUGCAUACGAAAAAGACACUAAUUUUCACUAAUAGUUACCCACCUGGACGAUCGUAUUUCGUAUGUUUUGGAUCAUUCGUCACGAAUGUGCCCUUUGUAAUCGAGAAUGAAGACAGUCGUCAAUUUAGUGUCGUCCUCUUUGUAAGUGGGAGUGAAGACAGUCGUCUCUUUACUGUCCUUAAGUAACCUAGAGAUUAUAUUCUUAGAAGUUAUUUUUUUUCGAGAAUGAAGACAGUCGUCACUUUAGUGUCCCCUUUUGUAAGCGAGAG